GACAAACGCUGGCGGCGUGCCUAACACAUGCAAGUCGAGCGAGAAAGGAGCUUCGGCUCCUGGAAAGCGGCGAACGGGUGAGUAACACGAGGGCAACCUGCCUCAAGGAUUGGGAUAACGUCGGGAAACCGACGCUAAUACGCAACGAUGUCGUGUGGCGCAAGCACGCCGCCCCAAUGGUAGUCUAGGCUUCUGCCCUGAGAUGGGCCCGCGUCCUAUCAGCUUGGUGGUGAGGUAACGGCUUACCAAGGCUACGGCGGGUAGCUGGUCUGAGAGGAUGAUCAGCCACACUGGGACUGAGAUACGGCCCAGACUCCUACGGGAGGCAGCAGUGGGGAAUCUUGCGCAAUGGGCGAAAGCCUGACGCAGCAACGCCGCGUGAGCGAAGAAGGCCUUCGGGUUGUAAAGCUCUGUCAGGGGGAAAGAAGGCACCUGGGUUAAUAGCCCAAGGGCUGACGGUACCUCCAAAGGAAGCCACGGCUAACUACGUGCCAGCAGCCGCGGUAACAC
rnacentral:rRNA from 1 species